GGAGAGGUCGCAUAGUUUGGCCUAGUGCGCGCGACUGGAAAUCGCGUAGGGUGUAAAAAGCCCUCGCGGGUUCGAAUCCCGCCCUCUCCGCCA
rnacentral:tRNA from 1 species